rnacentral:misc_RNA from 1 species
AAAAAAAAAAAAAAAAAAAAAAACCACAACUUAUUCUCUCACACAGGACUAGAUUGUUUUAAGAAUGAAAUCAUUUUAUUUCCAAAAAUAUCAUAAUUUUUCCCGAGCUCCCUCCUUACAAAACUGGUCCUGACAGCUGAAAUAUGAGCCGGUUUCGCUCCUCUACCUCCCUUCUUCUAUUCUUUUCUCGACUACCCUGAUUUUUAGUGCCCCUCGUAGGAAUUUAAGUGGGCCCUUUUUUUUU